rnacentral:rRNA from 1 species
UACGUAGGCAGCGAGCGUUGUUCGGAGUUACUGGGCGUAAAGGGUGUGUAGGCGGUUCUUUUAAGUUUGGUGUGAAAUCUCCCGGCUCAACCGGGAGGGUGCGCCGAAUACUGAGGGACUUGGAGUGCGGGAGAGGAAAGUGGAAUUCCAGGUGUAGUGGUGAAAUACGUAGAUAUCUGGAGGAACACCGGUGGCGAAGGCGGCUACCUGGCCCAACAUUGACACUGAGACCCGAAAGCGUGGGGAUCAAACAGG